rnacentral:tRNA from 1 species
GAUCCAGAUAGACGAGGUGGCCGGUCGCUUCGUGCGCGGCGAGCAGCGCCUCGGUGGUGUGCAUGUUCGCGUUCUGCCCGCGGUAGGAACUC